UUAUGGUGGACACUCAGACAUUUAUUGUUUGUGAUGGAAAAACAGAACGCUAGAAAUAAUAUUUAAGGCAGAAAUCACAGCCUUGGAUAAACCCUGGGAAAUGUCGGGGAGCCACGGCCCAGCUUGAACAUUACCGUUCUAAAAGAUCUCAGCUCCCUCCAAUUCUCGUGGGUCUGGACAACACAGCCCUGGCUAGAUCUGGCUUGGUCUCCUAGCCCAGGUGGCUGCAGGGGUGGGUGAACCCCUUCAGACCACCACCUACUAUCCUCACGUG
rnacentral:lncRNA from 1 species